GGCCCCGUGGUCUAGUGGAGAAGACACCCCCGUGACGCAGGGAGAAACGCGGGUUCGAAUCCCGCCGGGGCCA
rnacentral:tRNA from 1 species